AUACUUACCUGGCAGGGGAGAUACAAUGAUCACGAAGGUGGUUUUCCCAGGGUCAGGCUUAUCCACUGCACUCUGGAUGUGCUGACUUCUGCAAUUUCCCCAACUGUGGGAAACUCCAGUGCAUAAUUUGUGGUAGUGGGGGACUGCAUUCGCACUCUCCCCUG